UCUUCAAUACGAUGAUUCCUUUUCCA
rnacentral:piRNA from 1 species